rnacentral:rRNA from 1 species
GCUCCUACGGGAGGCAGCAGUGGGGGAUAUUGCACAAUGGGGGGAACCCUGAUGUAGCGACGCCGCGUGGGUGAAGGAGCGUUUCGGCGCGUAAAGCCCUAUCGGCAGGGAAGAAGGAGGACGGUACCUGACUAAGAAGCCCCGGCUAACUACGUGCCAGCAGCCGCGGUAAUACGUAGGGGGCAAGCGUUAUCCGGAUUUACUGGGUGUAAAGGGGGCGCAGACGGCAGCGCAAGCCAGGAGUGAAAGCCCGCGGCCCAACCGCGGGACUGCAUUGGGAACUACCGGGCUGG